UAAGGAAUAUUGGACAAUGGAGGCAACUCUGAUCCAGCCAUGCCGCGUGAAGGAAUAAGGCCCUAUGGGUUGUAAACUUCUUUUAGACGGGACAAAACCCCUUUACGUGUAAAGGGUUGAUGGUACUGUCAGAAUAAGCAUCGGCUAACUUCGUGCCAGCAGCCGCGGUAAUACGAAGGAUGCAAGCGUUAACCGGAAUUAUUGGGUUUAAAGGGUGCGUAGGCGGACUAAUAAGUCAGUGGUGAAAGCCUGCAGCUUAACUGCAGAAUUGCCAUUGAUACUGUUAGUCUUGAGUACAGUUGAGGUAGGCGGAAUGUGUCAUGUAGCGGUGAAAUGCUUAGGUAUGACACAGAACACCGAUUGCGAAGGCAGCUUGCUAAGCUGUAACUGACGCUGAGGCACGAAAGCGUGGGGAGCAAACA
rnacentral:rRNA from 1 species